rnacentral:rRNA from 1 species
CCUACGGGGGGCAGCAGUGGGGAAUAUUGCACAAUGGGCGCAAGCCUGAUGCAGCCAUGCCGCGUGUGUGAAGAAGGCCUUCGGGUUGUAAAGCACUUUCAGCGGGGAGGAAGGCGUUAAGGUUAAUAACCUUGGCGAUUGACGUUACCCGCAGAAGAAGCACCGGCUAACUCCGUGCCAGCAGCCGCGGUAAUACGGAGGGUGCAAGCGUUAAUUGGAAUUACUGGGCGUAAAGCGCACGCAGGCGGUCUGUCAAGUCGGAUGUGAAAUCCCCGGGCUCAACCUGGGAACUGCAUUCUAAACUGGCAGGCUAGAGUCUUGUAGAGGGGGGUAGAAUUCCAGGUGUAGCGGUGAAAUGCGUAGAGAUCUGGAGAAAUACCGGUGGCGAAGGCGGCCCCCUGGACAAAGACUGACGCUCAGGUGCGAAAGCGUGGGGAGCAAACAGGAUUAGAUACCCGGGUAGUC